AGAUCUCUAGCUGGUCUAGAUGGAUGAUCAGCCACGAUGGGACUGAGACACGGCCCAUACUCUGAAAAGAGGCAGCAGUGGAGAAUAUUGGACAAUGGGCGAAAGCCUGAUCCAGUCAUAUUGUGUGGUCAAAAGACCUUUUGUCAGUGAAGAUAAUGACGGUAACUGAAGAAUAAGCACCGGCUAACUCUGUGCCAGCAGCCGCGGUAAGACAGAGGGUGCGAGCGUUAUUCGGAAUGAAUAGGCGUAAAGUGCAUUAAGGUGGUUUAAAAAGUAGAUCAUGAAAGUUUAAG
rnacentral:rRNA from 1 species